UUCUCUGACAUCGUUUCUAUGUAGUUCAUAGUUUCCCCAACCUUCAGCUCAAGGCUAUGGUAGUGACGGAGCAUGCAAACAUGCUACACAAUCGACAGGGAAUCGAGUUUUAGAGCUCCGACAUGCCAAUAUCCAUCUUCUUGGAUCGUUUUGAGGUAAAGUCCCAAGAACCUAUAGAUUUGGGAUUUCAGAUUUUAACACAGAUUGGGUUUUGAUUAUUUUUAUGGUUUGGUUGCCGGUGAUGACAAACUCGAGUUGAAUUAGGUUCCAAGAAACAAAGCAUGAAGACCAUGGAGAAUAAUUAAGCUGCGAAGGGAAGAGGUAAUGAAACUGAAAAUCACAAGUAAGAUUCUGCCACUGAUUUGAAUCUAGGUUCUUAAUUUUGUCUUUUGGUUCUAUAUGAUGAUGCAAACUGAGAUUUAUUGGGCGAUGGACUUGUUUGGGUAGAGAAGCAGGAUAAGUAAUUUCCAUGAAGUUAGAAGUGGAAAGGAUGAAGAGGAUUGACGAGUAAGGAAACAUAGAAGGAACUAGAAAAGGAGAAGAGGAACCUACUGUGGCUGCUCAUCCAAUCUCACAGCAUAAAGAAAGGAGAUUGUUACUUACUAAUCUACAAGAUAAGUUGGCUGGUUACUUGGACCAUUAUUACUUGAUUUGAUUUGAUUUGAUUAUACUUGUAAGAUUAUAUGUUGGUUAAAUAUAACUGGGCUGCUAUUAGUCUGCAAAGUGUUGUGGUUUUGAGUUUUGACCAUUUGGUAAGAAACUGGCACGGGUUAUGAAUUUGGUACAAUUGAGUUGUGUAAUUGAUAUCCUAUUUUAAAAGAGACAAGGUCUGUUUAAAGUAAAGAGAUGCAGUACAAGGUUUUCCAUGUAUUGGAAGCAAGUGAAUUAUAUAUGGGUGUUGAGACCAGCCUUAUAUAUAUAUAUAUAUAUGGCUUAUAUUCAGAUUAAUAAGUCCUUAUUGUGAAUUGGUAAUCACGUUAUGAGGUACCAAAUUGGGGUAAGUUCUAAUUUGAGUUGAGUUACAGAUUUGGUUAUGUUCUGAACCUUGAAUGGUUAAGAGAUAGAUAAUGAGUUUGGCUCAAUGGAGAGUGAGCUCUUAUGCUCCUGUUAAUCAAUAUAAAGUUGAUAGAUGGAUUUGAGUCAAGAAAAAGUGAAGAGUUAUUUAAAGGGAUUACCAUAUUAUAAUUGAGAAUAAUGUUUGUAGCCGACAUGAAUAUUAACGUGGAAUUUGUCGGACAUACUUUCAGCUACCCAAAAUGGUAAGCGGUGGUGGUGUUUGCCUAGCAUUAUGGAGUAAAGAUUCGAACUCUAGGAAUACCAG
rnacentral:lncRNA from 1 species